AGUAAGUAUACCACAAUAGUAGUGGGUUUGUCUUAGGAACAAAACAUAAUAGUUCAACUCUAUUUACUUACUA
rnacentral:tRNA from 1 species